GAAGUCAAUUAUUACUUAAUAUACACAUGCAAGUCUCCGCCCCCCUGUGAAAACGCCCUUAAACCCCCUCUAGGGACAAGGAGCCGGUAUCAGGCACGAAAAUCUGCCCAAAACACCUAGCUUUGCCACACCCACAAGGGAAUUCAGCAGUGAUUAACAUUAAACAUAAGCGAAAGCUGGAUUCAGUUAAAGUAAAUAGGGCCGGCUAAUCUGGUGCCAGCCGCCGCGGUUACACCACGUGGCUCAAAUUGACUCUUACCGGCGUAAAGCGUGAUUAAAGCUACAAGGAGUUGGGGUUAAACUAAAACUAAGCUGUGACACGCCUGUAAUUAAGAAACCCCUACACGAAAGUUACCCCAAUUAUGUCAACUUGA
rnacentral:rRNA from 1 species